AUAAGAGUAGAAGCAUAUUAGGUAAACUUUUUUUGUUCAAGUCCUUCCUCUUUUUGGCACUUUAUAUCACUCUAUACCGAAGAAAUGAAGAAACAUUUGGAAUUAACACUACGUGCAAAAAGAAUUCCCCUAUUUGGAGGCACCACUUUAUAUCUCACUUACAUAGAGGAAUUAAAUCAAAUUCGCUGCUUAUAUGGAGUUAACUAGAAAAUAGGAAGUAAUCUUUAUUGCUUUUAAAUAUAUAUCUGCAUAAUAAUGCUCAGAAAUAAUGACCUUGAUUCUUAGAACAUUAUCAACAUCAGUGUAUCAACAAAUAAUUUGAACUAUCUUUCUUUUUAUUCUUUUGUGAAACAUAGAUCGUAGUUGACUGAGACAAAAAUGGUGGAUUCUUGGAUGCAGGGAUAGGCCAAUAGUUAGUGUAGCAAAACUUAAACAGAUGGAGCAAUUUUCAUGUAUAUUGAAUUGUGUUUUGAUGAUUUACAUUGCUGUGUUUAUAUAGAGGAUUCAAGUCACUAUUUGAAUCCUACCUAAGAUUGAAAAUAGUAUGGACAAAACCAUUUACACCAUGCUGCUGACUCAUGCUCUAGUGAUUGAUAAAGUAAGAAAGCCUAUUAGAACCCAUGCUGCUAAUUAGGCCAUGCUGCUGCAACAGUAACACUUGUUUUAUCAAACACCAUGCUGGUUCAAUAGUAACUUCAUGCUCCACAUGAGCAUGACACCCAACUGCUCACUGCAUAAGACUUGAUGUGCAGUGAUUUAGAUAGAUGCACUAUAACUCAAUACUCCCAAUACCCCCUCUCAAGCUAGAUCAAGGAGAAACCUUGAGCAAAGCUUGCCAUAACGUACGAAACCUUUUUUUUUCUCCAAGUUUUGUUCCUUCUUGUUCUUCACCUCCACAGAACUAAAACUCUAAUAGUCCAACACUGGAGAAAAAAAAAAAAUUUGGACAACGGAUUCUCUUCUUGAAUAGAAUGGAAAAGAUUAGAACGUGAUCAUGGAUCAGAUUUCUCUUCCAUAAUAGAAAGAAGAAAUCAAUGGUCAAGAGAUAAAGAGUCUUAUACAAAAGAACACUGAAUAGAUCUCUCUUCCACAGGAAAGAAGAAAUCAGAAAUCAGAAAUAGAUACCGACAGUCCAACAUCGGCAAAGAUGAGCUCCCAUUAGAACCUCGAACAACAGACCUCUCCACCAAAAUAAGAUGGAAAAGAUCAGAACAUGACCAUGGAUCAGAUUUCUCUUCCAAACCAGAAAGAAGAAAUCAAUGGCCAAGUCCCAAUAGUUAGAGAUAGAGUGAAUAGGGUGGGCUGGAGAGAUUAAGAAAACAUUAAGGUUUUAGAAGGGAGAAAUAGAAUGAGACUGGUUAGGUGAGAGGAAACAAGACCAAGCCUUCAAUCAGAUAAAAUCUUAAUUCAUUCCAAUAUGCGUUUCGGAUUGCGUCGGAUUGCAUGAGCAAGCCAUUUAUAGGUUUCAAAUAUAACCCUUAGUCUCCUAGAAUACCAUAAGACUAAUAUUACUUAUUAAUAAUAAGACUCUUAAAUACUUAAGACUUAAAUAGGUAAAGAUACACUUCGUGCGGCCCUUCGGUUAUUACCCCUUCCCGCUUCGUGUGGCGUCUUGCCUGUUAUUACCCCUUACCGCUUCGUGCGGCGUCCUGUCAGUUAUUACCUAUUUCCGCUUCGUGCGGCGUCCCUUCGGUUAUUACCCCCCGGUCAGUUAUUACCCCUUGCCGCUUCAUGCGGCGUCCCUUCGGUUAUUACCCCAUGUCGCUUCGUGCGGCAUCCCGUCGGUUAUUACCCUUUACCGCUUCGUGCGGCGUCCAUUCGGUAAAUUACCCCAUAUCGCUUCGUGUGGAGUCCCGCCGGUUAUUAUCUCUUCCCGUUUCGUGCGGCGUUCCUUCGGUUGUUACCCGUUCCCGCUUUGUGCGGCCUCCCGUCGGUUAUUACACUUCCCGCUUUGUGCGGCAUAUCAGUUAUUACUCCUAUCAUUUCGUGCGGCGUCCCUUCGGUUAUUACCCAUUUCCGCUUCGUGCGGCGUCCCGUCGGUCAUUAGCUACUCUUACAGUUUCGUGCGGCGUCCCAUCGGUUAUUACCUCUUACCGCUUCAUGCGGCGUAUAGUCGGUUAUUACCCCUACCGCUUCGUGCGGGGUCUUUUCGGUUUUCACCCCUUCCCGUUUCGUGCGGCGUCCUGUCGGUUAUUACCCUUCCUGCUUCGUGCGGUGUCCUGGUUAUUACCCCUACCGCUUUGUGCGGCAUCCAUUCGGCUAUUACCCCCUUCCCCCUUGCCGGUUAUUACGUCUUGCCGCUUCGUGCGGCGUCCCGGUUAUUACCCCUACCGCUUCGUGCGGUGUCCCUUCGGUUAUUACAACUUUCCGCUUCGUGCGGCGUCCCUUCAGUUAUUAUCCCUUGCCGCUUCGUGUGGCGUCCUGUCGGUUAUUACCUUUUGCCGCUUCGUGCGGCGUCCCGUCGGUUAAUACCUCUUAUCAUUUCGUGCGGCGUCCCAUCGGUUAUUAGCUACUCUUACAGUUUCGUGCGGCGUCCCAUCGGUUAUUACCUCUUAUCGCUUUGUGCGGCGUAUAGUCGGUUAUUACCCCUACCGCUUCGUGCGGGUCCUUUCGGUUUUCACCCCUUCCUGUUUCGUGCGGCGUCCUGUCGGUUAUUACCUUUCAUGCUUCGUGCGGUGUCCCGGUUAUUACCCCUACCGCUUCGUGCGGCGUCCAUUCGGCUAUUACCCUCUUCCCCCUGCCGGUUAUUACGUCUUGCCGCUUCGUGCGGCGUGCCGGUUAUUACCCAUACCGCUUUGUGCGGCGUCCAUUUGGUUAUUUACCCUACCAUUUCGUGCGGCGUCCUGUCGGUUAUUACCCCUUUACCGCUUCGUGCGGCAUAUAGUCGGUUAUUACCCCUACCGCUUCGUGCGGCGUCCCUUCGGUUAUUACCCUUCCCGUUUCGUGCGGCAUCUUGUCGGUUAUUACCCCAUGCCGCUUCGUGUGGUGUCUUGCAUGUUAUUACCCCUUACCGCUUCGUGCGGCGUCCUGCCAGUUAUUACCCCUUUCUGCUUCUUGCGGCGUCUCUUAGGUUAUUACCCCCCCGGUUAGUUAUUACCCCUUACCGCUUCGUGCUGCGUUCUCUUCGGUUAUUACCCCAUGUCGCUUCGUGCGGCGUCCCGUCGGUUAUUACCCUUUACCGCUUCGUGCGGCGUCCAUUCAGUAAUUACCCCAUACCGCUUUGUGUGGUGUCCCGUUGGUUAUUACCUCUUCCUGUUUCGUGCGGCGUCCUUUCGGUUAUUACCCCUCCCGCUUUGUGCGGCGUCCUGUCGGUUAUUACACUUCCCGCUUCGUGCGGCGUCUCGGUUAUUAUUCCUACCGUUUCGUGUGGCGCUCUUUCGGUUAUUACCCAUUUCCGCUUCGUGCGGCGUCCUGUAGGUUAUUGCCUACUCUUACAGUUUCGUGCGGCGUCCCAUCGGUUAUUACCUCUUACCGCUUCGUGCGGCGUAUAGUCGGUUAUUACCCCUACCGCUUCGUGCAGCGUCCCUUCGGUUUUCACCUGUUCCCGCUUCGUGCGGCGUUCAGUCGGUUAUUACCCUUCCUGCUACGUGCGGUGUCUCGGUUAUUACCCCUAUCGCUUCGUGCGGCGUCCAUUCGGUUAUUACCCCCUUCCCCUUGCCGGUUAUUACGUCUUGCCGCUUCGUGCGGCGUCCCGUUAUUACUCGUACCGUUUCGUGCGGCGUCCUUUCGGUUAUUACCCCUUUUCGUUUCGUCGCGGCGUCCCGUCGGUUAUUACUCCUUCGUCUCUUCGUGCGGCGUCCCGUCGGUUAUUACCCCUUGCCGCUUCGUGCGGCGUCCCUUCGGUUAUUACCCCUUGCCGCUUCGUGCGGCGUCCUGUCGGUUAUUACCUCUUGCCACUUCGUGCGGCGUCCAGUCGGUUAUUACCCGUUCCCGCUUCGUGCGGCGUCCAGUCGGUUAUUAUCCUUCCUGCUACGUGCGGUGUCCCGGUUAUUACCCCAAUCGUUUCGUGCGGCGUCCAUUCGGUUAUUACCCCCCUUCCCCUUGCCGGUUAUUACGUCUUGCCGCUUCGUGCGGCGUCCUGUUAUUACCCCUACCGCUUCGUGUGGCGUCCUUUCGUUUAUUACCCAUUUUCGCUUCGUGCGGCGUUCCGUUGGUUAUUACCCAUUGCCGCUUCGUGCGGCGUCCUGUCGGUUAUUACCUCUUGCCGCUUCGUGCGGCGUCCCGUCGAUUAUUACCUCUUACCGCUUAGUGUGGCGUCCCGUCGAUUAUUACCUCUCACCGCUUAGUGCGGCGUCCCGUCGGUUAUUACCCCUUGCCGCUUCGUGCGGCGUCCUGUCGGUUAUUACCUCUUGCCGCUUCGUGCGGCGUCCCGUCGAUUAUUACCUCUUACCGCUUAGUGCGGCGUCCCUUCGGUUUUCACCCCUUACCACUUUGUGCGGCGUCCCGUCUGUUAUUACACUUCCCGCUUUGUGCGGCAUCUCGGUUAUUACUCUUACCGUUUCGUCCGGCGUCCCUUCAGUUAUUACCCCUUUUCGCUUUGUGAGGCGUCCCGUCGGUUAUUACCUACUCUUAUAGUUUUGUGCGGCGUCCCAUCGGUUAUUACCUUUUACCGCUUCGUGCGGUGUCCCUUCAGUUUUCACCCCUUCCCGCUUCGUGCGGCGUCCUGUCGGUUAUUACCCUUCCUGCUUCGUGCGGUGUCCCGGUUAUUACCCCUACCGUUUCGUGCGGCGUCCAUUCGGUUAUUACCCCCCUUCCCCCUACCGGUUAUUACGUCUUGCCGCUUCGUGCGGCGUCCCGGUUAUUACCCCUACCGCUUUGUGCUGCGUCCUUUCGGUUAUUACCCCUUUACGCUUCGUGCGGCAUCUAUUCGGUUAUUACCCUUUGUCACUUAGUGCGGCGUCCCGUCGGUUAUUACCCCUAUCUGCUUCGUGCGGCGUCCCUUCGGUUAUUACCCCGUGCUGCUUCGUGCGGCAUCCCGUCGGUUAUUACCCCUUACCGCUUCAUGCGGCGUCCCGUCGGUUAUUACCCCUUACCGCUUCGUGCGGCAUAUAGUCGGUUAUUAUCCCUAUCGUUUCGUACGGCGUCCCUUCGGUUAUUACCAUUCCCGCUUCGUGCGGCAUCUUGUCGGUUAUUACCCCUUGCCGCUUCGUGCGGUGUCUUGCAUGUUAUUACCCCUUACCGCUUCGUGCGGCGUCUUGCCAGUUCUUACCCCUUUCUGCUUCGUGCGGCGUCUCUUAGGUUAUUACCCCCCCGGUUAGUUAUUACCCCUUGCCGCUUCGUGCGGCGUCCCUUUGGUUAUUACCCCAUGCCGCUUCGUGCGGCGUCCCGUCGGUUAUUACCCUUUACCGCUUCGUGCGACGUCCAUUUGGUAAUUACCCUAUACCGCUUCGUGCGGCGUCCCGUCGGUUAUUACACUUCCCGCUUCGUGCGGCUUCUCGGUUGUUACUCCAACCGUUUCGUGCGGCGUCGCUUCGGUUAUUACCCAUUUCCGCUUCGUGCGGCGCCCUAUUGGUUAUUACCUAUUCCUACAGUUUCGUGCGGCGUCCCAUUAAUUAUUACCUCUUACCGUUUCGUGCGGGGUAUAGUCUGUUAGUACCCCUAACGCUUCGUGCGGCGUCCCUUCGGUUUUCACCCGUUCCCGCUUCGUGCGGCGUCGAGUCGGUUAUAUCCCUUCCUGUUUCGUGCGGUGUCUCGGUUAUUACCCCCACCGCUUCGUGCGGCGUCUAUUCGGUUAUUACUCCCCUUCCCCAUGCCGGUUAUUACAUCUUGUCGCUUCGUGCGGCGUCCCGGUUAUUACCCCUACCGCUUCGUGCGGCGUCCUUUCGGUUAUUACCCCUUUCCGAUUCGUGCGGCGUCUAUUCUGUAAUUACUCCUUGCCUCUUCGUGCGGCGUCCCGUCGGUUAUUACCCCUAUCUGCUUCGUGCGGUGUCCCUUCGGUUAUUACCCCUUACCGCUUCGUGCGGCGUCCUGUCGGUUAUUACCUCUUGCCGCUUCGUGCGGCGUCCCGUCGGUUAUAACCUCUUACCGCUUAGUGCGGCGUCCCUUCGGUUUUCACCCCUUACCGUUUUGUGCGGCGUCCUGUCGGUUAUUACACUUCCCGUUUUGUGCGGCAUCUCGGUUAUUACUCAUACCGUUUCGUGCGGCGUCCCUUCGGUUAUUACCCUUUCCGCUUCGUGCGGCGUCCCGUCGGUUAUUGCCUACUCUUACAGUUUCGUGCGGCGUCCCAUCGGUUAUUACCUCUUACCGCUUCGUGCGGUGUAUAGUCGGUUAUUACCCCUACCGCUUCAUGCGGCGUCCCUUCGGUUUUCACCCGUUCUCGCUUCGUGCUGCGUCUUGUCGGUUUUUACCCUUCCUGCUUCGUGCGGUGUCCUGGUUAUUACCCCUACCGCUUUGUGCGGCGUCCAUUUGGUUAUUAUCCCCUUCCUCCCUGCCGGUUAUUACGUCUUGCCGCUUCGUGCGGCCUCCCGGUUAUUACCCUUACCGCUUCGUGCUGCGUCUUUUUGGUUAUUACCCAUUUCCGCUACGUGCGGCAUCUAUUCGGUUAUUACCGCUUCUCUCUUCGUGCGGCGUCCCGUCGGUUAUUAGCCCUAUCUGCUUCAUGCGGCGUCCCGUCGGUUAUUACCCCUAUCUGCUUCGUGCUGCGUCCCUUCGGUUAUUACCCUUUGCCGCUUCGUGCGGUGUCCUGUCGGGUAUUACCUCUUGUCACUUCGUGCGGCGUCUUGUCAGUUAUUACCUCUUAUCGCUUCGUGCGGCAUCCCAUCGGUUUUCAUCCCUUACCGCUUCGUGCGGCGUCCUGUCGGUUAUUACCCUUCAUGCUUAAUGCGGUGUCCUGCCAGUUAUUACCCAUUUGUGAUUCAUGCGGUGUCUCUUAGGUUAUUACCCCCCCGGUUUGUUAUUACCCCUUGCCGCUUCGUGCGGCGUUUCUUCGGUUAUUACCCCAUGCUGCUUCGUGCAGCGUCCCGUCGGUUAUUACCUUUUACCGCUUCGUGCGGCGUCCAUUCGGUAAUUACCUCAUGCCGCUUCGUGCGGCGUCCCAUCGGUUAUUUCCUCUUCCUGUUUCGUGCGGUGUCCCUUCGGUUAUAACCCAUUCCCGCUUUGUGCGGCGUCCUGUCGGUUAUUACACUUCUCGCUUCGUGCGGCGUCUCGGUUGUUACUCCUACCGUUUCGUGCGGCGUCCCUUCGGUUAUUACCCUUUCCGCUUCGUGCGGCGUCCUUGUUGGUUAUUACCUUCUCUUACAGUUUUGUGCGGCGUUCCAUCGGUUAUUACCUCUUACCGCUUCGUGCGUCGUAUAGACGGUUAUUACCCCUACCGCAUCGUGCGGCGUCCCUUCGGUUUUCACCCGUUCCCGCUUCGUGCGGUGUCUUGUCGGUUAUUACCCUUCUUGCUUCGUGCGGUGUCCCGGUUAUUACCCCUACCGUUUCGUACGGCGUCCAUUCGGUUAUUACCCCCUUUCCCCCCCGUCGGUUAUUACGUCUUGCCGCUUCGUGCGGCGUCUCGGUUAUUACUCCUACCGCUUCGUGCGGCGUCCAUUCGGUUAUUACCCCUUGCCUCUUCGUGCUAUGUCCCGUCGGUUAUUACCCAUAUCCGCUUCGUGCGGCGUCCCUUCGAUUAUUACUCCUUGCCGCUUCGUGCGGCGUCCUAUCGGUUAUUACAUCUUGCCGCUUCGUGCGGCCUCCCGUCGCUUAUUGCCUCUUACCACUUUGUGCGGCGUAUAGUCGGUUAUUACCCCUACCGCUUCGUGCAGGGUCCCUUCGGUUUUUACCCUUUCCCGCUUCGUGCGGCGUCCAGUCGGUAAUUACCCUAUACCGCUUCGUGCGGCGUCCCGUCGGUUAUUACCUCUGCCCGUUUCGUGCGGCGUCCCGUCGGUUAUUACACUUCCCGCUUCGUGCGGCAUCUCGGGAUUUACUCCUACCGUUUCGUGCGGCGUCCCUUCGGUUAUACCCCUUUCCGUUUCGUGCAGCGUCCUAUUGGUUAUUACAUAUUUUUAAAGUUUCUUGCGGCGUCCCAUCGGUUAUUACCUCUUAUCGGUUCGUGCGGCGUAUAGUUGGUUAGUACCCCUAAUGCUUCGUGCGACGUCCCUUCGGUUUUCACCCGUUCCCGCUUCGUGUGGCGUCCAGUCGGUUAUUACCCUUCCCGCUUCGUGCGGCGUCCAUUCGGUUAUUACCCAUUUCCGCUUCGUGCGGCGUCCAUUCGGUUAUUACUCUUCCCGCUUCGUGCGGCGUCCAUUCGGUUAUUACCCCUUUUCGCUUCAUGCGGCGUCCAUUCGGUUAUUACCCCUUGCCGUUUUGUGCGGCGUCUAUUUAGUUAUUACCCCUUACCACUUCGGGCGGCGUCUUGCCGGUUAUUACCCUUUACCGCUUCGUGCGGCGUCCCGUCGGUUAUUACCCCCCCGGUUAGUUAUUACCCCUUGCCGCUUCGUGCGGCGUCCCGUCGGUUAUUACCCCUACCGCUUCGUGCGGCGACCUGUCGAUUAUUACCCCUUACCGCUUCGUGUGGCGUCCAUUCGGUUAUUACCCCUUUCACCUUCGUGCGGCGUCCCUUCAAUUAUUACCCAUUCUUGUUUCGUGCGGCAUCCCGGUUAUUACCCUUAUUGAUUCGUGUAGCGUCAUGUUGGUUAUUACCCCUUACCGCUGCGUGCGGUGUCCCAUCGGUUAUUACCCUUUACCGUUUCGUGUGGCGUACCGUCGGUUAUUACCCCUUAUGUUUNNNNN
rnacentral:lncRNA from 1 species